rnacentral:rRNA from 1 species
UACGAAGGGGGCUAGCGUUGCUCGGAAUCACUGGGCGUAAAGGGUGCGUAGGCGGGUCUUUAAGUCAGGGGUGAAAUCCUGGAGCUCAACUCCAGAACUGCCUUUGAUACUGGCGAUCUUGAGUCCGGGAGAGGUGAGUGGAACUGCGAGUGUAGAGGUGAAAUUCGUAGAUAUUCGCAAGAACACCAGUGGCGAAGGCGGGCUACUGGGCCGAUACUGACGCUGAUGCGCGAAAGCCAGGGGAGCGAACGGG